UACAGAGGUCUCAAGCGUUGUUCGGAUUCAUUGGGCGUAAAGGGUGCGUAGGCGGCGCGGUAAGUCGGGUGUGAAAUUUCGAGGCUUAACUUCGAAACUGCAUUCGAUACUGCCGUGCUUGAGGACUGGAGAGGGGACUGGAAUUUACGGUGUAGCGGUGAAAUGCGUAGAUAUCGUAAGGAAGACCAGUGGCGAAGGCGGGUCUCUGGACAGUUCCUGACGCUGAGGCACGAAGGCCAGGGGAGCAAACGGG
rnacentral:rRNA from 1 species